AGGGCAACUAAGCCCGUGAGCCACAACUACUUAGGCCUGUGCACAAAGAGCCUGUGCUCUGCAACGAGAGAGGCCACCAAACGAGAAGCCCACACCCCAGAGCUGGAGGGUAACUCCUGUUCCCGGCAACUACAGAAAAGCCCACACACAGCGACGAAGACCCAGCACAGCCACAAAAAAGUUAAUUAUGGCUUUGUGGCCAUAGAUAACUGCAGCAGCAGGAAGAGCUGGAAACUAGGAGGUAUUCUGACACAUCUGGGGAGUAUUAGAGACGAUGGAGGUGGCAGGUGCCAGUAUGUUUUCCCACAGAGGUCAUUUAUUCCCAGAACAUUGUGUAAUUUCAGUGUACUAACAACUCUUGAGGUAAGUAUUAAUGCCAUACUUCUGAACCCUUGUUUUAUUUUAGAAUUACCUUGGAGCUUUAAGAACUGUGUAUGGGCUUCCUCUCAAAGACUGUGAUUAUAUUUAUCUCAGAGGUCCAGUGAUCUUUAUUUUUAACAGUGUCAUAUAGAAUUGCUACUCAUUGUGAAGCCCAUGGACUGAGGAGGGGCAUUACCUGGGUGCUGAUUAGAAUGCAGAAGCAAGCCUACUGUAUCGAAAUCAGUGUUUUACAAGCACUCCUAGGAGAUUUUUCAGGGAUAUUAAAUUUAAGAAGCGUUGCCCUAGAUCCUUAAGUGCAGUUCUGGCUGAAAACUACUGACUUAACUGGUGAAGAAGGUGAGAGGCUCAUGGCACCUUCAGUGACAACAUCCCCAAGUCCUGGUUUGGGAUCGCUAGUCACACUCUUAAUACAGAUGUGAUCCCUAGUCACACAAAUGGGGUCCAGCUCUUUUGCCAGGGAAACAAAACUCUGAGAAUCCAGGUGUCUCUUCCCAGUGUUUUGCCUCUAUGUAAUAUCCAGGUGAAAACCUGCUGACGUAGCUGGAUCAGCCAGCAUCAAGGGGUGAAAUCCCAGCUGUUGGAUUCAGUUAUGUCUUUAAUGAAAGAGCUUCCCACAAGUAAUGAUGCUCCUCCUCUGCUUUUUUGUCCACUUUGAGGUGCAC
rnacentral:lncRNA from 1 species